rnacentral:rRNA from 1 species
GCCGGUCUCAGUUCGGAUCGGGGUCUGCACACUCGACCCCGUGAAGUCGGAGGCUCGCUAGUAAUCGCAGAUCAGCAACGCUGCGGUGAAUACGUUCCCGGGCCUUGUACACACCGCCCGUCACGUCAUGAAAGUCGGUAAACACCCGAAGCCGGUGGCCUAACCCCGUGGAGGGAGCCGUCGAAGGUGGGAUCGGCGAUUGGGACGAAGUCGUAACAAGGUAGCCGUACCGGAAGGUGCGGCUGGAUCACCUCCUUUCUAAGGAG